UGGGGAAUCUUGGACAAUGGGCGCAAGCCUGAUCCAGCCAUGCCGCGUGGAUGAUGAAGGCCUUAGGGUUGUAAAAUCCUUUCGUGGGGGACGAUAAUGACGGUACCCCAAGAAGAAGCUCCGGCUAACUUCGUGCCAGCAGCCGCGGUAAUACGAAGGGGGCUAGCGUUGUUCGGAUUUACUGGGCGUAAAGCGCGUGUAGGCGGGUCGUUAAGUUGGGGGUGAAAUCCCGAGGCUCAACCUCGGAACUGCCUUCAAAACUGGCGACCUGGACUCAAGUAGAGGCAAGUGGAAUUGCGAGUGUAGAGGUGAAAUUCGUAGAUAUUCGCAGGAACACCAGUGGCGAAGGCGACUUGCUGGACUUGUAGUGACGCUGAGACGCGAAAGCGUGGGGAGCAAACAGGAUUAGAUACCCAAGUAGUCCCUGAGCGGGCUGGCAAGGCGCAU
rnacentral:rRNA from 1 species